rnacentral:rRNA from 1 species
UACGGAGGAUGCGAGCGUUAUCCGGAUUUAUUGGGUUUAAAGGGUGCGUAGGCGGAUCGUUAAGUCAGUGGUCAAAUUGAGGGGCUCAACCCCUUCCCGCCAUUGAAACUGGCGAUCUUGAGUGGAAGAGAAGUAUGCGGAAUGCGUGGUGUAGCGGUGAAAUGCAUAGAUAUCACGCAGAACCCCGAUUGCGAGGGCAGCAUGCCGGCUUCCUACUGACGCUGAAGCACGAAGGCGUGGGGAGCAAACAGG